rnacentral:piRNA from 1 species
UAGACACACUUAAAUUACCUGUUAAAAUAAA